GUUGAAACACCAGUUCCUGCACAUUCACCAAAGUUAAGCAACGUCAAGCCUGGUUAGUACUUAGAUGGGUGACUGCUUGGGAAUCCUAGGUGUUGUAAG